rnacentral:piRNA from 1 species
UGCCUGGAGGUGCCGCUGAAGAAGUGAG